rnacentral:rRNA from 1 species
GACGAACGCUGGCGGCGUGCCUAAUACAUGCAAGUCGAACGAACAGACCAGGAGCUUGCUCCUUUCACGUUUGCCGCGCACGUGUGUGUAACACGUGUAACCCCUCCUUAUCUUUCUGGGAUCAUCUCGGAAAACCGGAGAAUACCCCGUAUAAUCUCCUGCUCCACAUGGUGCGAUAGUGAGAGUCGGUUUUGCUGUAUGUAAUAGCUGCAUACGGGCGGAAUUAGCUAGUUGGGACGGACACGGCUUACCAAGGCUACGAUGCGUAGCCGAAUUGACAGGGGGAUCGGCCACCCUGGAAGUGAGACACGGUCCAGGCUCCUACGGGAGGCAGCAGUAGGGAAUCGUCGGCAGUGGGCGGAAGCCUGACGGAGCAGCGCCGCGUGAGUGAUGGAGGUCUUCGGAUCGUAAAACUCUGUUAUUAGGGGAGAACAAAUGUGUAAGUAACUAUGCCCGUCUUGACGGUACCUAAUCAGAAAGCCACGGCUAACUACGUG